AAGACUAAGGUUUCCUGGGGCAGGCUCGUCCGCCCAGGGUAAGUCGGGACCUAAGGCGAGGCCGAGAGGCGUAGUCGAUGGACAACAGGUUGAAAUUCCUGUACUGCACCGAAUCGUUAUGAGCGAUGGAGGGACGCAGGAGGCUAGCAGCGCGUGGUGCUGGAUACCACGUUCAAGCGUCAAGUCUGAGAGCGAGUCAAAUGCUUGCUCUCAUAAGGACAAGGCGUGAUGAGGAGCGAAAUUAAAGUAGCGAAGGCUGCGACGUCACACUGCCGAGAAAAGCUUCUAGCCAGAGACGGUGCACCCGUACCGCAAACCGACACAGGUAGUCGAGGAGAGUAUCCUCAGGUGAGCGAGAGAACUCUCGUUAAGGAACUCGGCAAAAUGGCCCCGUAACUUCGGGAGAAGGGGCGCUGGUCGCAAGAUCAGCCGCAGUGAAAAGGCCCAAGCAACUGUUUAUCAAAAACACAGGCAUCUGCAAAAUCGUAAGAUGAAGUAUAGGUGCUGACACCUGCCCGGUGCUGGAAGGUUAAGAGGAGAGCUUAGCGCAAGCGAAGGUUUGAAUUGAAGCCCCAGUAAACGGCGGCCGUAACUAUAACGGUCCUAAGGUAGCGAAAUUCCUUGUCGGGUAAGUUCCGACCUGCACGAAAGGUGUAAUGAUUUGGGCACUGUCUCAACGAGAGACUCGGUGAAAUUAUAAUACCCGUGAAGAUGCGGGUUACCCGCGACAGGACGGAAAGACCCCAUGGAGCUUUACUGCAGUUUAAUAUUGGGUAUCUGUCAAGCAUGUACAGGAUAGGUAGGAGCCGGAGAAGAUAGGACGCCAGUCUUAUCAGAGGCGCUGUUGGGAUACUACCCUUGCUUGACGGAUGCUCUAACU
rnacentral:rRNA from 1 species